CCUGGGGCUCCUCAUCCUCCUCCUGGGCCUCUUGGCUCCCCUAAGCUCCUGGGACUUCUUUGUCUACCUGGGGGCCCUGCUGCUGGCCUUCAGCCUCGUCUUCUGGGUCUUCUGGUACUCCUUCAACAUCGAGGUGCCCCUCAGGGAGCUCCAGUGCAGCUGACCCCGGAGCCGCAGCGGGGAUUUUGAUCUUCCCGUUUUCCUGGGAAGAUCCCAAAGCGUCGCUCAGCUGGUGAAGAGCACCCAAAGGAGACCCAAGGGAAGGGUCUGGUGGUCCUCACAGCACCCAGCAGGCAGAUGGACCCUCGGGGGAAAGGGAAUGAAGAAAGGACAGGAGUGGAUGUCAGCAGUGAGCAGAUGAAGAGGAGCAGCUCCACACCAGGACUCUGCUGUGCUGCCCUUGCACAAGCAGCACUGGGAGCACAGAAGGAGCUGUGUCACUCUGCCGUGCUGGGGACACUGGCACAGCCACUCAGGACACCCCCUGAGGGAUGGACACCCCUUCUGCACCCUCUCCAAUCCAUUUGCACUCCCCCCCUGCCCACUGCUGGCUCAGAGGGCCCAGCAGGGGCAGCCUGGUGGCAGCAGAGCCUCCUCCCUCUGUCCUGACCAGGGGACACAGAGCCACAGGGAGCAGCUGGCAGCUCUGUCACCCUCCCUGCAGGGCGUGGUGGUCCAGCAGGGCUCACCCUGCACACACAGCCCCAGGUGCAGCUGAGUGCCCGGGCUGGGCCCUGCUCUGUCCCAGACAUAAAAUCUGACAGCACACAGGAUUCCCUGAGCAAAAUGCAGCUGCUGGAGGUCCCAGGUCUGCUCUACCCAAGGCCCCAGGCACUCUCUAAGCCAUUUCAGGAAAUGCUCAAAAGACCUCAGUGCAAGGAGCUAUGGAGCUGAGCAGAGCUGCAAAGGCCAGGAGAGGAUCCAGUGCUUCAGCUGCCAAACCAGGGGUGGUUCAGCAUGGGAACAGAGCCCUGGCUCGCUCCGAAUCCAGACCUCGGAGGACUGCAGAGGAGUGGAGGAGAGGAGGCCUCCUGGUCAACCACAUCCCCAUUCCCCUGUGCUUCUGAGGCAGAGUUCAGCUGACCAUGAAGACACUCACGUAGGAUGGAAGCAUUCAUAACACUAUCAAAUAUAUAACACAUCAAAUAUAUAACACAUCAAAUAUAUAACACAUCAAAUGUAUAACACAUCAAAUACAUAACACAUCAAAUGCAUAACACAUCAAAUAUAUAACACAUAAAAUACAUAACACAUCAAAUACAUAACACCUCUCAAAUAUAUAAACCUAUCACAUAUAUAACACCUAUCAAAUAUAUGCCAUUUAUCAAAUAUAUAACACCUAUCAAAUAUAUAAGACCUAUCACAUAUAUAGCACCUUUCAAACAUAUAACACCUCUCAAAUAUGUAACAACCAAGAGGUUGUUCAGCACUGCACUUUACAGACACCUCUCUCAGC
rnacentral:lncRNA from 1 species